UAAGCAAGCCCUAGGGCUAUAGAGGAUACAAUGCAACAAAUAUUGUAAUGCAGUUACACUAGUACUUGGUUAGGGUUUAGACCAUAAUAGGUCUAAAAUUUUGAGUUAUGACACUAAAUCUCUCUCUCAAAGUCCUCCGUUGUUCUUGGUGUUUGUGAACCAUUUGAGGCAUCACACUUGAGGUUCUAAGCUCUUGAAAGGCCAAAAUUACAGGCUACAAUAAAGAGGUAUUUUUCUAACUUGAUUUUAUAAAUCAUGUACCAAUAUUGUAUGCUAGUUGUAGGCUUCAUGCUUUGGAAAUCAUAUUGCAUGUAUCAUUAGAGAAAACAUAGAUCCAAAGCAUUUAGGGUUGCAUGUGCACCAUAGGAGUGUUAUAGUUCUUAAAACCCAACAUCUAUCUCAUGUGCAGAUAAGGUCACAAUUCGGCAUGACUAGAACAAAAAUAAUUCCAAUUCUGCUGAAAAUGAUUCCAAAUCAUGUGAUGAUGAUGCUCACACUGUUGAAAUUAUCAGGCCACAAAAAUCUGUUAAAUGGUGUGAUAAACGUUCAUGUGCUUGUGCUUGUGGAAGUUCCAUGAAAACAAACUUCAUUUGGAUAAGGAACAAGUCACAAUCUUAUUUAUUUGAAAAAAAACAUACUUGUUUUAACUAUGGGACUCUCGUUCACAUUGCUAGAAAUUGCCCACAUCGUUCAUAUGUUCCCUACUAUGAACAAGGUUGGAAAAUCGUGCCAAGAGUGAGAUCUUUCAAAAGAAAUCCUUCAAGGUCACAUUCACGCAAUGGUGACUGGAAUGCUAAAAAGGCCAAGAAUCAGAUUCCCUAGGACAAGAAGGGCAUGUCAGACAAUAUUUCUCAUUCGAGAGAUGGUUAAGUGAAACUAAAAUCGGUAAGGUAAAAUUCAUCUCAAGGGUCGUCUUCUAGCUCGCACUCAUAAUAAAGGCCUAAAUCGAAAGGUAGUCACCUCCCAAAGGUAAGUAAAAAAGGUCUAGUUGGUUGAACAAGAAAGUUCACAAACUUAAUUACCAAUGGGUUCCAAAAGGUCAUAUUUCAAAAACAACCAAAACUCGUGUAACUUCUUUAUAUUCUUUUUCUGAUAAACAGGAUAUGUCAUGCGAAAGAGUACCUUGUGUAGAUAGUAAUGGCAAAUCCAGUUUCAAAAUGGAUUGGGUUCCAAAAACCAACUAAUUUCGCACUAUGUAUCAGAACAACUAUGAAGGAAUAUCAUCAGACUUCGGUAUGUUGAUAAUGGUUGUUUUAGGCACAUGAUAGGAGAAAUCUCUCAACUGCACGACAUUCAAAACUUUAAUUGAGGGUCUGUGUCCUUUGCGGGAAGGGAAAGGAAAUAUCACAAAUAGGGACCGUAUUUAUUGGUGUGUAGAAGUUUGAUAACGUCAACUUCGUUUCGGAAUUGAAACACAGCUGAGGUUAAACACGUAGCUGCAUCUGCUUGUUAUUUUCUGCUCAUCUGGAUGCAACUUCAAUUGCUGAUUUACAGUUUUGAAUUUUAUGAUUCUUCUCUUCUCUGUGAUAAUAAUGCUGAUUUUUAAUUGUCCAAAAGCCAAAUCUUUCUUAAAACCAAGCUCGUGCUUAUGAGAUUUCUUAAGAUGAUGCGUUUCAAAGACUGAAUUUUUUUUUCAAUUUUAUUUAGUAUUUCUUAUUUUCUUCCAUUUUUCUUUUGAUAAUAUUUUGGGAAGUGAUAUGAAGUUUAGUUUUAAAGGGAAAUGUAAAAUAUGUGUAAUGUACUGAAGCUAUAUUGUUUAGACUCUAUGUUCAAUGUGCUAGUAGGCACGAAAGAUUCUAAAUGAAAGGACUAGACACUGUUGACAAAUGAAAGGACUUGACAGUGUUAACUCAUCUGAAAUUAGAUAGUUACAUUUGGACUGACCAUACGACGCUUGGAUAGAUUGAGCAGUGAGAUAAACAAAGGAGCCUACGAGAUACAUUAAAGUUACUUAUCAUCUAGAACUAUGGCUCAACACUUCUUCGACGUACAGACUUAUGUCAUUAAUUAUGGUGCUGAUAGGGUGACUGGGGGUUUUGAUAAAGUAGGUAUGUGUGAAAUUGUUUUUCUUUCUUAUCCUCUAUGUCAGUCAUAUGUUGCCCUUUUGCGUGAUUGGAAGAGAUCCGACUUGGGACGUAACAUAUGCAUCUUUAUCUAUGCAUCUCUCUAUUUAUCUAUGUCAUUCAUAUGAUGUCUCCUCUACGUGAUUGGAAGAGAUCUGACCUGGGACACAACAUAUGCAUCUUUCUAUCUCUUUAUCCCUCUAUCUAUGUUAGUCAUAUGUUGUCCCUCUGUGUAAUUUGAAGAGAUCUGACUUGGGAUACAACAUAUGCGUCUCUAUAUCCAUCUUCUCUCUCAAAUAAUUGAGCACUCACCUAACGUAAAGAGCUCUUUGAAAAUUCAUUGAUUGCUAGGGUAUGUCGUGAAGUGGGGAAUGCGUUCUAGUGCACUUAAAAAUGAAUUGGUUCAUGACUAANUAGGGCUAUAGAGGAUACAAUGCAACAAAUAUUGUAAUGCAGUUACACUAGUACUUGGUUAGGGUUUAGACCAUAAUAGGUCUAAAAUUUUGAGUUAUGACACUAAAUCUCUCUCUCAAAGUCCUCCGUUGUUCUUGGUGUUUGUGAACCAUUUGAGGCAUCACACUUGAGGUUCUAAGCUCUUGAAAGGCCAAAAUUACAGGCUACAAUAAAGAGGUAUUUUUCUAACUUGAUUUUAUAAAUCAUGUACCAAUAUUGUAUGCUAGUUGUAGGCUUCAUGCUUUGGAAAUCAUAUUGCAUGUAUCAUUAGAGAAAACAUAGAUCCAAAGCAUUUAGGGUUGCAUGUGCACCAUAGGAGUGUUAUAGUUCUUAAAA
rnacentral:lncRNA from 1 species